rnacentral:rRNA from 1 species
AGUGAACGCUGGCGGCAGGCCUAACACAUGCAAGUCGAACGGCAGCACAGUAAGAGCUUGCUCUUACGGGUGGCGAGUGGCGGACGGGUGAGGAAUACAUCGGAAUCUACUUUUUCGUGGGGGAUAACGGAGGGAAACUGACGCUAAUACCGCAUACGAUCAACGGGUGAAAUCAGUGGUUAUUCGGACCUUGCGCGAUUGAAUGAGCCGAUUCCGGAUUAGCUAGUUGGCGGGGUAAAGGCACACCAAGGCGACGAUCCGUAGCUGGCCUGAGAGGAUGAUCGGCCACACUGGAACUGAGACACGGUCCAGACUCCUACGGGAGGCAGCAGUGGGGAAUAUUGGACAAUGGGCGCAAGCCUGACGCAGCCAUGCCGCGUGGGUGAGGAAGGCCUUCGGGUCGUAAAGCCCUUUUGUUGGGAAAGAAAAGCUGCAGAUUAAAACCCCGCUGUUCUGACGGUACCCAAUGAGAAAGCACCGGCUAACUUCGUG